GACGUAGGGCGCGAGCGUUGUCCGGAUUUAUUGGGCGUAAAGAGCGUGUAGGCGGCCAGGUAGGUCAGCUGUGAAAACUCGAGGCUCAACCUCGAGACGUCGGUUGAAACCGUAUGGCUAGAGUCCGGAAGAGGAGAGUGGAAUUCCCGGUGUAGCGGUGAAAUGCGUAGAUAUCAGGAGGAACACCUGUGGUGUAGACAGCUUACUGGACCAUUUCUGACGCUGAGACACGAAAGCGUGGGUAGCAAACAGG
rnacentral:rRNA from 1 species